rnacentral:misc_RNA from 1 species
UCCCUCGAAAGAGGGCAGUCUCGUCUGAAAAAUCCAACAGACGAUGGGGGUUUCGCUCGUUUACCCACUUAAGGGCACAGCUCACGCCACGAGCUGACGGCGGCCGUGCAACACCUGUCUUAGCGUUCCUUGCGGCACGGUUCUGUUUCCAGAACUUUCGCUAGAUGUCAAACCCUGGUAAGGUUCUCCGUUUGUCGUCGAAUUAAACCACAUGCUCCACCGCUUGUGCGAUCCCCCGUCAAUUCCUUUAUGUUUUAGUCUUGCGACCGUACUUCACAGGCGGCACACUUAACGCGUUAGCUUCGCUACAAGAAGGGUCGAUGCUUCUGAUAGCUAGUGUGCAUCGUUUACGGCGUGGACUAC